AAGCCCGCAAGGGUAAGUAGAGUGGCGCACGGGUGAGUAACACGUGGACAACCUGCCUUCGAGUGGGGAAUAACCUUCCGAAAGGAGGGCUAAUACCGCAUGACACCUCGGGACACAAGUUCUGGGGUUGAAAAGAGCAAUUUGCUCGAAGAGGGGUCCGCGCCUGAUUAGCUAGUUGGUGAGGUAACGGCUCACCAAGGCUUCGAUCAGUAGCCGUCCUGAGAGGGAGCACGGCCACACUGGAACUGAGACACGGUCCAGACUCCUACGGGAGGCAGCAGUGGGGAAUUUUUGGCAAUGGGCGAAAGCCUGACCAAGCAACGCCGCGUGGGUGAUGAAGUAUCUUGGU
rnacentral:rRNA from 1 species